UUGCUUAUUCUAGAAGCACCUAUACUAGAAUCAAAACAAUAUGGAAAAGAUUAGCACAGUCGUUGAACAAGGAUGACAUAUUCCAUAUUUUCCAUAUUUUA
ensembl:snRNA U6 U6 spliceosomal RNA